AGAGUUUGAUCCUGGCUCAGAGCGAACGCUGGCGGCGUGCUUAACACAUGCAAGUCGAACGGGUGUAGCAAUACAUCCGUGGCGAACGGGUGCGUAACACGUGGAUAACCUUCCUUCAGGUGGGGAAUAACCCAGUGAAAAUUGGGCUAAUACCGCAUGACAUGACGAUGCCGCAUGGUGUUGUCUUCAAAGGCGCAAGUCGCCAGAAGAGGGAUCCGCGGCCGAUUAGCUAGUUGGCGAGGUAAUGGCUCACCAAGGCUUUGAUCGGUAGCCGGACUGAGAGGUUGACCGGCCACACUGGAACUGAGACACGGUCCAGACUCCUACGGGAGGCAGCAGUGGGGAAUCUUGCACAAUGGACGAAAGUCUGAUGCAGCAACGCCGCGUGGGGGAUGAAGCUUCUCGGAGUGUAAA
rnacentral:rRNA from 1 species